rnacentral:rRNA from 1 species
UACUUUGGUGGCGACCGGCGCACGGGUGCGUAACGCGUAUGCAACCUACCUUUAACAGGGGCAUAACACUGAGAAAUUGGUACUAAUUCCCCAUAACAUUCGAGAAGGCAUCUUCUUGGGUUAAAAACUCCGGUGGUUAAAGAUGGGCAUGCGUUGUAUUAGCUAGUUGGUGAGGUAACGGCUCACCAAGGCAACGAUACAUAGGGGGACUGAGAGGUUAACCCCCCACGUUGGUACUGAGACACGGACCAA